AGGAUAGCCAACCAUUCUGGUUUGCCUGGGACUGAGUGGAUUCCUGACAUAUGGGACUUGCAGUGCCAAGGUUAGGAUGUUGCUGUUGUUGC
rnacentral:miRNA from 1 species